UUCAUUUUACUUAUAUUAACAUUAUUGCUUCUAUUAAAUAAUAGAUUAGUCCAAUGUGAUGUUAGGAGUUCAGUAGAGUGAUUAGAGUCUGUUGGAAAGGUGGUGUU